rnacentral:miRNA from 1 species
UGGACGUUAGCUCCGGUGGUGAU